UACGAAGGGGGCUAGCGUUGCUCGGAAUCACUGGGCGUAAAGGGUGCGUAGGCGGGUCUUUAAGUCAGGGGUGAAAUCCUGGAGCUCAACUCCAGAACUGCCUUUGAUACUGAAGAUCUUGAGUCCGGGAGAGGUGAGUGGAACUGCGAGUGUAGAGGUGAAAUUCGUAGAUAUUCGCAAGAACACCCGUAGCGAAGGCGGCACUCUGGGCCGAUACUGACACUGAGGAGCGAAAGCGUGGGGAGCGAACAGG
rnacentral:rRNA from 1 species